rnacentral:rRNA from 1 species
GAUGAACGCUGGCGGCGUGCCUAAUACAUGCAAGUCGAGCGGAAAGGCCUCUUCGGAGGUACUCGAGCGGCGGACGGCUGAGUAACACGUAGGAACAUACCCUAAAGUGAGAGAUAACUGCUCGAAAGAGUAGCUAAUACCGCAUGUGGUCUUCGGAUUAAAGCUUCGGCGCUUUGGGAAUGGCCUGCGUCUGAUUAGCUAGAUGGUGAGGUAAUGGCUCACCAUGGCGACGAUCAGUAGCUGGUCUGAGAGGAUGAUCAGCCAGACAGGGACUGAGACACGGCCCAGACUCCUACGGGAGGCAGCAGUAGGGAAUUUUCCACAAUGGGCGAAAGCCUGAUGGAGCAACGCCGCGUGCAGGAUGAAUGCCUUCGGGUUGUAAACUGCUUUUAUAUGUGACGAAUAUGACGGUAGCAUAUGAAUAAGGAUCGGCUAACUCCGUGCCAGCAGCCGCCGUAA